rnacentral:rRNA from 1 species
AGGAUGAACGCUGGCGGCGUGCCUAACACAUGCAAGUCGAACGUCCUGUCUCGCAAGAGGCAGGGAGUGGCGGACGGGUGAGUACCACGUGGGUCAUCUACCGUGAGGUGAGGAAUACCGGCGAGAAAUCGCCGACAAGACCGCAUAGGCUCGAUGCAAGUCGAGCAAAGCUCUUUCGAGAGAGGGAGCGCCACACGAGGAGCCUGCGCCCGAUUAGCUAGCUGGUGGAGUAACGGUUCACCAGGGCGACGAUCGGUAGCUGGUCUGAGAGGACGAUCAGCCACACUGGGAUUGAGAACGGCCCAGACUCCUACGGGGGCAGCAGUGAGGAAUUUCGUCAAUGGGGGCAACCCUGAACGAGCAACGCCGCGUGCAGGAAGAAGGUUUUCGGAUCGUAAACUGCUUUUCUCGGGGAAGAGAACGGACGGUACCCGAGGAAUCGAGCCCCGGCUAACUACGUGCCAGCAGCCGC